CAAACCAUGGGAGCUGGUAAUGCCCGAAGUCGGUUUAUAAACAAACUGCCUAAGGCAGGACUGGUGACUGGGGUUAAGUCGUAACAAGGUAUCCCUACGAGAACGUGGGGAUGGAUCACCUCCUUUCUACGGAGUACAUAAAAUCACAUUUCAUUGGGAAUAGUGAUUAUUAACCUUAUUUUUUGACCUUAACUUAAUAUUUUUCAACAGUUCAUGGCUUAUUUAGGUCAUAAGCAAUAUAUCUAGUUUUGAGAGAACAUUCUCUCAAAUGUUCUUUGAAAACUGAAUAGUAAAUUAUUUUAAAAUAUUUACAACGACAUCUAAACAAAUUAAUAAUUAGUCAUUUUGUUUUGAUUCAUCGAGUAAUCAUAAAACAUUAUGAUUCAUUGAAAUGUCUUAAAAUACACAUCAUUAAAUAACCAAAUAGGAACAUACUUUUAAAUAAGGAAGAAUUUGUGGUGGAUGCCUUGGGUCUUAAAGUCGAUGAAGG
rnacentral:misc_RNA from 1 species